rnacentral:lncRNA from 1 species
CCUAAAGUGCGUGAGCCUCACCUGGUCAGUUGAGGGCUUGAAUAGAUCCAAAAAGCUGACUUUCCCCAGAGAUUAAGAGGGAACUCUUCCUGCCUAACUGCCUUGAGCCAGUACAUCAGUCUUUCCUUGCCUUUGGACUUAAACUGAAACAUUGGCAGUGUCUGAAUCUUGAGCCUACCAAAAUUUGGACUGGAAAAAUCCCAUCAGUUCUUCUGGUUCUCAGGUGUUUGGAUUUAGACUAAAACUUCAUGAUUGGCUCUCUUAUGUGCCCAGCUUGCUGACUGCAGAUAUUGGGGCAUGCUACCUUCAUUUAUCAGGUAUGGUAGACUGUCUUUGUGUUCAGGGA